rnacentral:piRNA from 1 species
UGAGACGCAGUUUCGCUCUUGUUGCCCAG